GAAUCUUGCGCAAUGGCCGAAAGGCUGACGCAGCGACGCCGCGUGCGGGAGGACGCUCUUCGGGGUGUAAACCGCUGUCAGAGGGGAAGAAGGCCUGGGGGAGACAAUGCCUUCAGGAUGACGGUACCCUCAGAGGAAGCACCGGCUAACUCAGUGCCAGCAGCCGCGGUAAUACGGAGGGUGCGAGCGUUGUUCGGAAUUAUUGGGCGUAAAGCGCGCGUAGGCGGCCGUUUAAGUCUCGCUGUGAAAUCGGGGGGCUCAACCCUCACGACUGCAGGGGAUACAGGGCGGCUGGAGAUAGGUAGAGGCGAGCGGAAUUCCGGGUGUAGCGGUGGAAUGCGUAGAGAGCCGGAAGAACACCAGAGGCGAAGGCGGCUCGCUGGACCUCAUCUGACGCUGAGGUGCGAAAGCGUGGGGAGCGAAC
rnacentral:rRNA from 1 species